UUUUAUUUGAGAGUUUGAUCCUGGCUCAGGAUGAACGCUGGCGGCGUGCCUAACACAUGCAAGUUGAGCGAUUUACUUCGGUAAAGAGCGGCGGACGGGUGAGUAACGCGUGGGUAACCUACCCUGUACACACGGAUAACAUACCGAAAGGUAUGCUAAUACGGGAUAAUAUAUUUGAGAGGCAUCUCUUGAAUAUCAAAGGUGAGCUAGUACAGGAUGGACCCGCGUCUGAUUAGCUAGUUGGUAAGGUAACGGCUUACCAAGGCGA
rnacentral:rRNA from 1 species